GGGGCUGAAAUGGUUUUGACAGCAAGUGAAUGGAAUUGUAAGCAUGCCGAGCCAUGAGAAUACGCUCGUAAAACAGGUUCUCGAGCCAAUAAAUGGCAACGUUGAUUAUGCACUCGCUGCUUAAUAAAUAGCAGUUUAUUCUUCUGGUCAAGGAUCAGGAGAACGAGCACUUCGCGGAAGCCUUUCCCUGUGGCGUCCGGUUACGAAGUGUCGUAAAACGGGGAUAGAAUCGGCAGCGCUUCGAUGCCGAUUCGAAAAUUAGAAGCUAAGGAAUAAGUAGGUUGCUUAUGACCAGCUUAUUCCCGACAAUCAAGCAUAAGCUAAGCAUGUAGAAAGCAGUUUGGUUCCUUGUUUGGACCCGGGUUCGACUCCCGGCAGCUCCACAU
rnacentral:tmRNA from 1 species